rnacentral:rRNA from 1 species
UACAGGGGGGGCAAGCGUUGUUCGGAAUUACUGGGCGUAAAGGGCUCGUAGGUGGCCAACUAAGUCAGACGUGAAAUCCCUCAGCUUAACUGGGGAACUGCGUCUGAUACUGGAUGGCUUGAGUUUGGGAGAGGGAUGCGGAAUUCCAGGUGUAGCGGUGAAAUGCGUAGAGAUGUGGAGGAACACCGAUGGCGAAGGCAGCCUUCUGGGCCAACACUGACGCUCAUGCACGAAAGCGUGGGGAGCAAACAGG